CAACAACAGACUCGGUGAAAUUGUAAUUCCGGUGAAGAUGCCGGAUACCUGCGACAGGACGGUAAGACCCCAUGGAGCUUUACUGUAGCUUGACAUUGGGUCUUGGUACUACAUGUACAGGAUAGGUGGGAGGCUUUGAAACCAGGACGCCAGUUUUGGCGGAGCCAUCCUUGGGAUACCACCCUUGUAGUACUGGGACUCUAACCAUAGGCCAUGAAUCUGGUCUUGGGACACUGUCAGGUGGGCAGUUUGACUGGGGCGGUCGCCUCCCAAAAGGUAACGGAGGCGCUCAAAGGUUCUCUCAGUACGGUCGGAAAUCGUACGUAGAGUGUAAAGGAAAAAGAGAGCUUGAUUGCAAGACAUACAGGUCGAGCAAGGAUGAAAAUCGGACUUAGUGAUCCGGUGGUUCUGCGUGGAAGGGCCAUCGCUCAACGGAUAAAAGCUACCCUGGGGAUAACAGGCUUAUCUCCCCC
rnacentral:rRNA from 1 species